rnacentral:lncRNA from 1 species
GUAUGUCCCUGACCACCUCCCCCACCACACGGGCAGCUCCCCAAGGGGAGGCUCCUCAGAAGGGGGCUCUUGAGCCUCCUACCUCAUUCGAGGGCUCCCUGUGUCCUCAGACUGGGAUGGAUGAGUGGGGACAGAGAAGUGGAAAGAAGGUUCUGCCUGAGCUGCUGGUAAGCUGGCCUGGUUGCUCUGUCUGGUGUCUCUGAGGGGAAGCUGAGGCACCCUGAGCCUGAAGGAGCCUGGGGAGUGGCACAACCGUAGGUCCUGUGGACUCUGCCCUUGACCCUUGACCCUGCCCUUGACCUGCAGAGCCAAGACUGAGGAGGCAGUGGAGAGGCACAUUCCUGGUGUCUGGAGGAAGAAAGGCCAGCCACAAAGGGCCUACUGGCUAUCUAUGUGGUGUGGUGGCCAGGGGAGGAGUGCAAAGCUUGUUUGUAUCUGGCAGAUGGUGGCUGAGUGUCAAAUCCUCCAGUGAGUUAGUGGCAGAAGCAGGACAAGAAUCAGGACCAGAGUGCUGGACUCUCCCCAUUUCCUCAUCUUAUAGUGGUGGACAUGUGUGGGUCUCACUAUGCGUCCAGGAUCCUGCCUCCAAACCCAGGCCCUGCUAUGGCCAUACCAGAGACACUCACCCUGGCCACAGUCCUUCCCUGGAAGUCCUGGAAGAAGGGACACUGCCUAACAGGACACAGCCCUUUAGCCCUAAGGCUCACCCUGGGAAAGAGGCCUGCCUGCAGCGCUCUUCUCCCAGCACAGGGAACACCUGCUGAUUUGGGUGUGUGUGUGGGACUCUGGCCCUUUCCUCCCCACCAGUGUGCAGUCCCAGGACACAGGGUGAAGCCCAGAGUGAGAAAUUCCUGAGUCCUGGCUGCCUCCAUAGGGGGCAAUCAGGAGGCCCCCUCUGCUGACUGAUGGGCUGUGUGGCGUAGAGUAGGGCUUUUCCUCUCUGGGGGCCCCAGUUUCUCCAUCUAUAAAAUGAAGGGCUAGGUUACAUUCAUAGUUCUGGGAUGUCAUUCCUAUGCUACCUGCUACACCCCCACUGUUGAGGGAUAAGGUGACCCUGACCUAUUCUGCAGGGAAAUGGAAGCUGGGUGGGUCUUACCAGGCUGCAUGGUUAGUUAGUUUUUGUUUAGUUUUCAGAGGACAAAUGAAAGGGACCCAUUGUCUGCUAGGUAUGUCUCUUGCCAAGUGCUCCUUUCCUGCUGGGGUGGGGGAAGGUCAGG